rnacentral:rRNA from 1 species
GGAGGAACACCGAUGGUGAAGGCAGCCCUCCUGGGAUGACACUGACGCUCAUGUACGUAAAGCGUGGGUAGCAAACAGGAUUAGAUACCCUGGUAGUCCACGCCCUAAACGAUGUCAACUGGUUGUUGGGGGAGUGAAAUCCAUUAGUAACGAAGCUAACGCGUGAAGUUGACCGCCUGGGGAGUACGGUCGCAAGAUUAAAACUCAAAGGAAUUGACGGGGACCCGCACAAGCGGUGGAUGAUGUGGAUUAAUUCGAUGCAACGCGAAAAACCUUACCUACCCUUGACAUGUCCGGAAUCCUGCAGAGAUGCGGGAGUGCUCGAAAGAGAACCGGAACACAGGUGCUGCAUGGCUGUCGUCAGCUCGUGUCGUGAGAUGUUGGGUUAAGUCCCGCAACGAGCGCAACCCUUAUCAUUAGUUGCUACGCAAGGGCACUCUAAUGAGACUGCCGGUGACAAACCGGAGGAAGGUGGGGAUGACGUCAAGUCCUCAUGGCCCUUAUGGGUAGGGCUUCACACGUCAUACAAUGGUCGGUACAGAGGGUUGCCAAGCCGCGAGGUGGAGCCAAUCCCAGAAAGCCGAUCGUAGUCCGGAUUGUUCUCUGCAACUCGAGAGCAUGAAGUCGGAAUCGCUAGUAAUCGCGGAUCGGCAUGUCGCGGUGAAUACGUUCCCGGGUCUUGUACACACCGCCCGUCACACCAUGGGAGUGGAAUCUGGCAGAAGUAGGUAGCCUAACCGCAAGGAGGGCGCUUACCACGCUGGGUUUCAUGACUGGGGUGAAGUCGUAACAAGGUAACC